rnacentral:rRNA from 1 species
UGAGGAAUAUUGGACAAUGGGGGAAACCCUGAUCCAGCAACGCCGCGUGGAGGAUGAAGGUCUUUGGAUUGUAAACUCCUUUUCUUGGGGAAGAGCAAGGACGGUACCCGAGGAAUAAGUCACGGCUAACUACGUGCCAGCAGCCGCGGUAAUACGUAGGUGGCGAGCGUUAUCCGGAAUUACUGGGCGUAAAGCGCACGCAGGCGGUUCGGCAAGUCUGACGUGAAAGCUCCUGGCUUAACUGGGAGAGGUCGUUGGAAACUGCUGGGCUUGAGGCAAUGAGAGGGGUGUAGAAUUCCCGGUGUAGUGGUGGAAUGCGUAGAUAUCGGGAGGAAUACCAGUGGCGAAAGCGGCACCCUGGCAUUGGCCUGACGCUCAUGUGCGAAAGCGUGGGGAGCGAACGGGAUUAGAUACCCCGGUAGUCCACGCCGUAAACGAUGAGCACUAGGUGUGGGUGGUGUGAAAACUAUCUGUGCCGAAGUCAACGCGCUAAGUGCUCCGCCUGGGGAGUACGGCCGCAAGGCUA